AUGCUCCCGCCUUUGAUUCAAAAUCUGGUUAAUGCUUGGAUAUGGAGGGUGGAUGACGAUGGUGCUUGGAUAUGCUUCCGCCUUCAAAAAGGCAUCAAGUCUAAAUGGGCCAGCUACCUUUACACCAUUAUUUUUCUCAUUUGUGGCAAGCAGUUGAACACCUUCAUCUACUAUAAUUUCAAUAUCUUUCGAAGACGUUUCUUCUUCUGUUCCAUCCUACCAUGUCGCUUGCUUCUGAUUAAAGUGUUAUUUCGCAAUGGCAGGCUUAACGCUUCUUGUCUGAAUCAACUGAAUGGUGCCACAACCUGGGUGUCAUCGGAUUAA